rnacentral:tRNA from 1 species
GGUAAAAUGGCUGAAGUAGGCAAUGAGUUGUAGCCUCAUUUAUGAAUUGUUACUAAUUCUUUUAUCA